UACGGAGGGUGCAAGCGUUAUCCGGAUUCACUGGGUUUAAAGGGUGCGUAGGUGGGUAAGUAAGUCAGUGGUGAAAUCUCCGGGCUUAACCCGGAAACUGCCAUUGAUACUAUUUGUCUUGAAUACUGUGGAGGUCAGCGGAAUAUGUCAUGUAGCGGUGAAAUGCUUAGAUAUGACAUAGAACACCAAUUGCGAAGGCAGCUGGCUACACAAAUAUUGACACUGAGGCACGAAAGCGUGGGGAUCAAACGGG
rnacentral:rRNA from 1 species